UCACAAUAUCAAGCUUGGCUUGUUGUUGGGCCCUUUGUCACCUGGUGACAGGUCCAAAAGACAAUAGCCGGUGUCAUACAGACUCUAUAUGCAACGAGCUUAUAACAGCACGCAUCUGGUGGUCGUGUGGCCUGGUUUUUAUAUAAAUAAAUUUCUCAAA
rnacentral:misc_RNA from 1 species